CCUACGUGCGGCAGCAGUGAGGAAUAUUGGUCAAUGGGCGCGAGCCUGAACCAGCCAAGUAGCGUGAAGGAUGACUGCCCUACGGGUUGUAAACUUCUUUUAUAAAGGAAUAAAGUGAGGCAUGUGUGCCUUUUUGUAUGUACUUUAUGAAUAAGGAUCGACUAACUCCGUGCCAGCAGCCGCGGUAAUACGGAGGAUCCGAGCGUUAUCCGGAUUUAUUGGGUUUAAAGGGAGCGUAGAUGGGUUGUUAAGUCAGUUGUGAAAGUUUGCGGCUCAACCGUAAAAUUGCAAUUGAUACUGGCAGUCUUGAGUACAGUUGAGGUAGGCGGAAUUCGUGGUGUAGCGGUGAAAUGCUUAGAUAUCACGAAGAACUCCGAUUGCGAAGGCAGCUUACUAAACUGCCACUGACAUUGAUGCUCGAAAGUGUGGGUAUCAAACAGGAUUAGAUACCCCUGUAGUC
rnacentral:rRNA from 1 species